rnacentral:rRNA from 1 species
GACGAACGCUGGCGGCGUGCUUAACACAUGCAAGUCGAACGGAAAGGCCCUGCUUUUGUGGGGUGCUCGAGUGGCGAACGGGUGAGUAACACGUGAGUAACCUGCCCUUGACUUUGGGAUAACUUCAGGAAACUGGGGCUAAUACCGGAUAGGAGCUCCUGCUGCAUGGUGGGGGUUGGAAAGUUUCGGCGGUUGGGGAUGGACUCGCGGCUUAUCAGCUUGUUGGUGGGGUAGUGGCUUACCAAGGCUAUGACGGGUAGCCGGCCUGAGAGGGUGACCGGCCACAUUGGGACUGAGAUACGGCGCAGACUCCUACGGGAGGCAGUAGGGGGGAAUAUUGCACAAUGGGCGGAAGUCUGAUGCAGCAAUGCCGCGUGCGGGAUGACGGCCUUCGGGUUGUAAACCGCUUUCGCCUGUGACGAAGCGUGAGUGACGGUAAUGGGUAAAGAAGCACCGGCUAACUACGUG